rnacentral:lncRNA from 1 species
GUGUUGUACUACUUUUGGGACAAAUCAUAUCAAAAUUAUAGAAAACUUCAUCGGCUCUAACUCAAAAUAGACAAUUCUAUGUUUAGGGCGUCUUGAAAUCUUUUGACAGCUUCCGAAGUGCUAAUUUUUAACCUUUUUCAGCUGGACCAAAUCACUAAUUUCCUUUAAAAUUCUGGACCCAAAAUUUUUUACAGUGUAAUUUCACCCCCCUACUUGCAAUUUGAGGCAUUAAACAUGGAGAAAUAAAUUUGGAAGGGGUAUAAAAAUUAAUGGCAAGUAACCGACUGUCAAACCUAGGGACUAUAUUCGUGAACAACGAAAAUCAAGGGACGACAAUUGUGGUCUCGGACCAAAUAGA